GGAGGGUGCGAGCGUUAAUCGGAAUUACUGGGCGUAAAGGGCGCGUAGGCGGCUGAUCAAGUCAGGUGUGAAAGCCCACGGCUUAACCGUGUGAAGUGCAUCUGAAACUGGUCGGCUUGAGUAUCGGAGAGGAAAGUGGAAUUCCCGGUGUGGAGGUGAAAUUCGUAGAUAUCGGGAGGAAUACCGGUGGCGAAGGCGACUUUCUGGACGAAUACUGACGCUGAGGCGCGAAAGCGUGGGGAGCAAACAGGAUUAGAUACCCUGGUAGUCCACAGCUGUAAACGAUGUGCACUAGAUGUGGGGAAGUGUUGACCUUUCCUGUGUCGCAGCUAACGCAUUAAGUGCACCGCCUGGGGAGUACGGCCGCAAGGUUA
rnacentral:rRNA from 1 species